rnacentral:rRNA from 1 species
UAACACAUGCAAGUCGAGCGAUUCUCUUCCGAGAAGAGCGGCGGACGGGUGAGUAACGCGUGGGUAACCUGCCCUGUACACACGGAUAACAUACCGAGAGGUAUGCUAAUACCAGAUAAUAUACUUUUAUCGCAUGGGAGAAGUAUCAGAGUUUUUGCGGAACAGGAUGGACCCGCGUCUGAUUACCUAGUUGGUAAGGUAACGGCUUACCAAGGCGACCAUCAGUAGCCGACCUGAGAGGGUGAUCGGCCACGUUGGAACUGAGACACGGUCCAAACUCCUACGGGAGGCAGCAGUGGGGAAUAUUGCACAAUGGGCGAAAGCCUGAUGCAGCAACGCCGCGUGAGCGAUGAAGGCCUUCGGGACGUAAAGCUCUGUCCUCGAGGAAGAUAAUGACGGUACUUGAGGAGGAACCCCCGGCUAACUACGUGCCACCAGCCGCGGUAAUACGUAGGGGGCUAGCGUUAUCCGGAAUCACAGGCCAAAAAGGGUGCGUAUGUGGUUUCUUAUGUCAGAGGUGAAAGGCCACGGCUCAACCGAAUUAACCCUUUGAAACUGGAAAAUUUGACUGCCGGAGAGGAGAGCGAAUUUCCUACUGUAGCCGGGAAAUGCACUCAUAUAAGGAGGAACACCAGUUGCAAAUGCCGCUCUCUGGACUGUAACUGACCCUGAGGCACAAACCCUGGGGGACCAAAACGGAUUAGAUCCCCUGGUAGUCCCCGCCGUAAACGAUGAUUACUAGCUGUCGGAGGUUACCCCCUUCGGUGGCGCAGCUAACACAUUAAGUACUCCGCCUGGGAAGUACGCUCGCAAGAGUGAAACUCAAAGGAAUUGACAGGGACCCGCACAAGUAGCGGAGCAUGUGGUUUAAUUCGAAGCAACGCGAAGAACCUUACCUAAGCUUGACAUCCUUUUGACCGAUGCCUAAUCGCAUCUUUCCCUUCGGGGACAGAAGUGACAGGUGGUGCAUGGUUGUCGUCAGCUCGUGUCGUGAGAUGUUGGGUUAAGUCCCGCAACGAGCGCAACCCUUAUCUUUAGUAGCCAGCAGGUGAGGCUGGGCACUCUAGAGAGACUGCCAGGGAUAACCUGGAGGAAGGUGGGGAUGACGUCAAAUCAUCAUGCCCCUUAUGAUUAGGGCUACACACGUGCUACAAUGGCGUAAACAAAGGGAAGCAGAGCCGCGAGGCCGAGCAAAUCUCAAAAAUAACGUCUCAGUUCGGAUUGUAGUCUGCAACUCGACUACAUGAAGCUGGAAUCGCUAGUAAUCGCGAAUCAGAAUGUCGCGGUGAAUACGUUCCCGGGUCUUGCACACACCGCCCGUCA